GUCUAACAUAAAUAGCUCAGUUGGUGGAACAUGACACUCUGAAUCUCAGAGUUGUUGGUUUGAGCCCCAUGUUGGGCA